AGACUUGGCAGGGGAGAUAGCAUGAUCACAAAGGUGGUUUUCCCAGGGCAAGAUUUAUUCACUGAGCUCUGGAUGUGCCGACCCCUACGACUUCCACCCAAGGGGGAAGCUUGACUGCUUAGUUUGUUGUAGCAGGGACUGUGUUCACACUUUCUCUGG
rnacentral:snRNA from 1 species